GUACGGGGGGGGGCAAGCGUUGUUCGGAAUUACUGGGCGUAAAGGGCUCGUAGGCGGCCAACUAAGUCAGACGUGAAAUCCCUCGGGCUUAACCGGGGAACUGCAUCUGAUACUGGAUGGCUUGAGUUCGGGAGAGGGAUGCGGGAAUUCCAGGUGUAGCGGUGAAAUGCGUAGAGUAUCUGGAGGAACACCGGUGGCGAAGGCGGCAUCCUGGACCGACACUGACGCUGAGGAGCGAAAGCCAGGGGAGCAAACGGGAUUAGA
rnacentral:rRNA from 1 species